rnacentral:tRNA from 1 species
GCAGAUGUGGCGGAAUUGGCAGACGCUCAGGUCUCAGAAGCCUGUGAAGCAAUUCGUACGGGUUCAAGUCCCGUCAUCUGCACCA